GACUUUGUAGUUUAGGUGGUUAGAGCGUCGGCUUGUGGCGCCGGAUACGGGUGUUCGAGUCACCCCAAGGUCA
rnacentral:tRNA from 1 species